AUUGAACGCUGGCGGCGUGCUUAACACAUGCAAGUCGUGCGGUAACAGGCGUAGCAAUACGUGCUGACGAGCGGCGAACGGGUGCGUAAUACAUGGGAAUCUGCCCUUUAGUGGGGAAUAACCCGGCGAAAGCCGGGCUAAUGCCGCAUAAGAUCUUCGGAUGAAAGCGGGGGAUCGUAAGACCUCGCGCUGAUGGAUGAGCCCAUGUCGGAUUAGCUAGUGGUGAGGUAACGGCUCACCAAGGCGACGAUCCGUAGCUGGUCUGAGAGGACGGCCAGCCACACUGGGACUGAGACACGGCCCAGACUCCUACGGGAGGCAGCAGUGGGGAAUAUUGGACAAUGGGGGAAACCCUGAUCCAGCGACGCCGCGUGUGUGAAGAAGGCCUGCGGG
rnacentral:rRNA from 1 species